rnacentral:lncRNA from 7 species
GGGAUGUUUGGGAAGAACCCAGCCACUGUUUGUCCAAUCAGCAUCAGCCAGGAGAGAAUGGAGGCUCAAAAAGAUCCCCGACCGUGCUCAGCCUACAGACACAUUAUUGAGAAGAUACAGCAGGUGUGGUUUAGAUGAAAAUCACAGGCCUGUAGGUCCCAGCUUGCCACUGACAUGUGCUCGAUGCUUGGGAGCUGGCAAGGCCACCAAAGGCAGUCUGUGCCUGUCCUUGCUGUGUUCAGCCAUGACAAUGCCCAUGUUGCUGCCUGGUGAUAAUCAAGACAUAACAUCCACGCUGUAGGAGCUUACUUGCUAAUGGCUUCAAACAACAGGAUUGGGUCUAUCUGCAGCUGCAUCACGUCCACUGCAUUAAUUGAGUGCCAGCAGUAUUCAGCACAACUACGGCAUCAGCAAAUGCAAGGCCAAAAGCACCGAGGAUAUGACAGGGCUGAACUGAUGGGGCCACAUGAAUGCAGCCACCAGCCUACCUGCUCUGCUGCUUUACGUAGCAUGGAGGCCUUGAUUCAGCUAUUGUUUUAAUUGUGUGAAAGGUCCCUACUCUUCCAGGAAUACAGUAACAAAAAUGGAAACGUUAUUGUCUGCCCACAGUUUGUGUUAGACUGCAUGUGCUUCAAACUGUGUGGGACAAUAUGGGAUAUACCAGAAGUUUUAGCUAGAUAAGGAUGAGACCUACAGACAUAUUUGAUAUCUAAUGUAAGACUCACUGUCGUAACAGAUGUACUUUCCUUUCCUAUGGAGGACAUAAAAGUGAAAGAUAGCUUAUUACACAAUAGCAUAAUUUUCCUAAACACAAUGGUUUCAUCUAUUUUCUGAGCAAAUUCCAGCUGAUUGUCACAAGCAUUAAAAAAACCUAGGGAAUGGUCUGUUUAUAUCACAGUAUUGAAAAAUCUGAGGCAAACCAGAGUCGGGGGAGAUGGAGUAACCACCCCUCUCUCUAAGUUAAUCAGAGCACUAUCUCUUUAUCAUCUUUUAUUUAAAUAGGCAGAUAUAAGAAAUUGCUGAGCAUAGCUUGGGCUGCCAACUUGCUUGUUAUGCUCAAUUGAGGCUGCAAGGAAUGAAAGGGAGAUGGACUACAACCAAAGUAACAAAAGCCAUGUGAUUAAGAAAACAGAUUCUCUAAUUAUGCUUUCAAAUGCAGCAAUUUGCCAGGGAUAAAAUAUCCAUCAAAAGCAGCCUGAAAUGCCAAAUUUAGAAAGGAAACACUGCAUAACCCAGCAACCUUUUCACUUUGCUGACUUCCUGUGGGAGGACAUGUUGAGACCAGAUGUGCAAAGAAAAAAUCCCAAGCCCUCAUUGCCAAUCAAGAAGGAAUGAAAUUUGAAUAUGCAUGUAAUCACUUAAUCCAAUACUUGCAGGGAAAUUUUGUUAUGUCCACCAUUUUUAUUCCCUCACAAAGACAUCUGGAAAUUGAGAAGACAGUGGAGUUUGUCACCAACAGUUUUGAUGUUGAUAAUGUAAUGCCAACUCAAAAGCAUAAAUAAUUCAUAACGCAAAACCAGUCUCACAGAAAUAUGUAUAGUUGAUAUGUGUAUCCCUGUUACAGCCUUUUUGCUUAGCUGUAAUUUUUAUUAGCUGAAAAUACUUAGAAAUGGCCUCUCUUCUUCUAGCUUAUAAGAACUGAAACAUGUAUACUUAAUAAAUCUUACCAGGUGUUCUCAUCUACCCACAGCCUUACUGACUUUGCUAGCAAGCAUUUUCCUAGGCACUGAGUUAGUUGCAAAACAGGACUUCUUAGAUAUAAUGUUUCAUUUCAUUUAAGAAUUUAGCUUAUUCUACUUCAUUAACUACGCAUUUAAAUUACACGUAAGUAAUCCUUCCAGAUUUAGCUAUUGGAUGUAGAGUUCACCUGUUCUGCUGUGAACGUAAAACAAAGGAAAUUCCAACAGCCCCAACUUACCUCUCCUCUGAGUUUCGGGGGGAUUGAUUGUUGUGGUUGCUGUUUCCAAUAAAAUUCCUAAUUUCUG